rnacentral:rRNA from 1 species
GGCGCACGGGUGAGUAACACGUGGGUAAUCUACCCUUUGGUGGGGGACAACAUCUAGAAAUGGAUGCUAAUACCGCAUGAGUCCACUUCGGUGGGGAAAGGCGGCUUCGGCUGUCGCCAAAGGAUGAGCCCGCGGCCCAUCAGCUAGUUGGUAGGGUAAAAGCCUACCAAGGCAACGACGGGUAGCUGGUCUGAGAGGAUGAUCAGUCACACUGGAACUGAGACACGGUCCAGACUCCUACGGGAGGCAGCAGUGGGGAAUAUUGCGCAAUGGGCGAAAGCCUGACGCAGCGACGCCGCGUGGGUGAUGAAGGCCUUCGGGUCGUAAAGCCUUGUGGGAGAGAGACGAACAAGUUGAGGGAAUAAUACCCCUCAGCCCUGACGGUAUCUCUCCAGAAAGCACCGGCUAACUCCGUGCCAGCAGCCGCGGUAAUACGGAGGGUGCUAACGUUGUUCGGAAUUACUGGGCGUAAAGCGCGUGUAGGCGGCUUG